rnacentral:rRNA from 1 species
GAUGAACGCUAGCGGGAGGCCUAACACAUGCAAGCCGAGCGGUAUUGUUUCUUCGGAAAUGAGAGAGCGGCGUACGGGUGCGGAACACGUGUGCAACCUGCCUUUAUCUGGGGGAUAGCCUUUCGAAAGGAAGAUUAAUACUCCAUAAUAUAUUGAACGGCAUCGUUUAAUAUUGAAAGCUCCGGCGGACAGAGAUGGGCACGCGCAAGAUUAGCUAGUUGGUGAGGUAACGGCUCACCAAGGCGAUGAUCUUUAGGGGGCCUGAGAGGGUGAUCCCCCACACUGGUACUGGGACACGGACCAGACUCCUACGGGAGGCAGCAGUGAGGAAUAUUGGUCAAUGGGUGCAAGCCUGAACCAGCCAUCCCGCGUGAAGGACGACUGCCCUAUGGGUUGUAAACUUCUUUUGUAUAGGGAUAAACCUACCCUCGAGAGGGUAGCUGAAGGUACUAUACGAAUAAGCACCGGCUAACUCCGUGCCAGCCGCCGCGGUAA